rnacentral:rRNA from 1 species
GACGAACGCUGGCGGCGUGCCUAAUACAUGCAAGUCGAACGCAGUGGGGACGGGUGAGUAACACGUGGGUAACCUCCCAUCAGAGGGGAUAACACUUGGAAACAGGUGCUAAACCGAUACUGAUGGAUGGACCCGCGGUGCAUUAGCUAGUGGGUGAGGUAACGGCUCACCAAGGCCACGAUGCAUAGCCGGCCUGAGAGGCUGACCGGCAACACUGGAACUGAGACACGGCCCAGACUCCUACGGGAGGAAGCAGUGGGGAAUCUUCGGCAAUGGACGAAAGUCUGACCCAGCCACGCCGCGUGAGUGAAGAAGGUUUUCGGAUCGUAAAACACUUUUGUUAGAGAGGCGGUAUCUAACCAGAAAGCCACGGCUAACUUCGUGCCAGCCGCCGCGGUAAUAC